CUUGGUCAUUUAGAGGAAGUAAAAGUCGUAACAAGGUCUCCGUUGGUGAACCAGCGGAGGGAUCAUUACCGAGUACUAUAACUCAUAACCCUUUGUGAACCUUUAUACCUGUUGCUUCGGCGGCGCGCCUCCCGGGGCGUGCCCGCCGGCAUAUAUCAGAAUCUCUGUUCGAACCCGACGAUACAUCUGAGUGUUCUAAGCGAACUGUUAAAACUUUCAACAACGGAUCUCUUGGCUCCAGCAUCGAUGAAGAACGCAGCGAAACGCGAUAUGUAAUGUGAAUUGCAGAAUUCAGUGAAUCAUCGAAUCUUUGAACGCACAUGGCGCCUUCCAGUAUCCUGGGAGGCAUGCCUGUCCGAGCGUCGUUUCAACCCUCGAGCCCCCGUGGCCCGGCGUUGGGGAUCUGCCCAGGCAGUCCCCGAAAACCAGUGGCGGACCCGUUGGGCCCUUCCUUUGCGUAGUAACAUCUGCCUCGUAUCGGGAGCCUGCGGGCUAUCCGGCCUCUAAACCCCCCUCAAGCCCGCUCCGGCGGCACCAAGGUUGACCUCGGAUCAGGUAGGAAUACCCGCUGAACUUAAGCAUAUCAAUAAGCGGAGGAAAAGAAAUCAACAGGGAUUGCCUCAGUAACGGCGAGUGAAGCGGCAACAGCUCAAAUUUGAAAUCUGGCUCCUUCGGGGCCCGAGUUGUAAUUUGCAGAGGAUGCUUCGGGUACGGGUUCCUUCCGAGUUCCCUGGAACGGGACGCCAUAGAGGGUGAGAGCCCCGUCUGGUAGGACACCCAGCCCGUGUGAAGCUCCCUCGACGAGUCGAGUUGUUUGGGAAU
rnacentral:sRNA from 1 species